GCAUCUGAGUAGGUUUCUGGGCUCUCUCCUACCUCUAUGAAGUAAUUCUAGGCUCACUGAGAAGUGACUCCUCCCACUACAGCUCACCCCCUAAUGCAUCAGGCCCACAACUGACCAGAAUAGACUUCCUUUCUCUUUUCUGUCUGCUCCCUAUGGAGCAGUUGAGAAGGUUCAUUUGCAUACAUCUUCAUUUAUUGUCCUUCCAAAGCCUUUGAUACCGAGCACGCUAAGAUGGGUAUCCUCAUUUUACAAAGAUCAAGGCAGAGAGAAGAGAAGGGACUCGCCUAGGAUCACACAAUUGACAUGUCAUCGCUGAGACCAGCAGUAAAUACACAGAUGGAUAAGACUCAAAAGAACCUACAAAUCCUGUACAAUGAAAUCACGUGGCAAGAAUGUGGUUAUUCUGAGAAACAGAAUAAAGCAGCAUUUUGCUGUGCCUUUUCACACAGCUGCCAAUCAAUGGUACAUGCUGGCAUACUUUCAGAA
rnacentral:lncRNA from 10 species